rnacentral:rRNA from 1 species
GAUGAACGCUGGCGGCGUGCCUAAUACAUGCAAGUCGAGCGAACAGACGAGGAGCUUGCUCCUCUGACGUUAGCGGCGGACGGGUGAGUAACACGUGGAUAACCUACCUAUAAGACUGGGAUAACUUCGGGAAACCGGAGCUAAUACCGGAUAAUAUAUUGAACCGCAUGGUUCAAUAGUGAAAGACGGUUUUGCUGUCACUUAUAGAAGGAUCCGCGCCGCAUUAGCUAGUUGGUAAGGUAACGGCUUACCAAGGCGACGAUGCGUAGCCGACCUGAGAGGGUGAUCGGCCACACUGGAACUGAGACACGGUCCAGACUCCUACGGGAGGCAGCAGUAGGGAAUCUUCCGCAAUGGGCGAAAGCCUGACGGAGCAACGCCGCGUGAGUGAUGAAGGUCUUCGGAUCGUAAAACUCUGUUAUUAGGGAAGAACAAAUGUGUAAGUAACUAUGCACGUCUUGACGGUACCUAAUCAGAAAGCCACGGCUAACUACGU